rnacentral:lncRNA from 1 species
CAGAUUCCUGUUGGCCUCUCUGCACGGCACUCCUUCCUCCUGGGUUGAGGGCAGGACCCUUUCUAAAAUGAGGAUCUUAUGACCUACAAUCAGACAAGAAACAGGUUUUCACCGUGUUGCCCAGGCUGGUCUUGAACUCCUGACCUCAAGCAAUCUGCCUUGGCCUCCCAAAGUGCUGGGAUUACAGGUGUGAGCCACCACAUCCAGCAGAAGGUCAUUCUUCACCUAUCAAAAUGGCAAAGAUAUUUUAAAAAGAAAAGAUAAAAAUUGGCAAAGUUCAGGGAAAUUGCUGAUGUGUAAGUGAUUGUGUGAAACUGUUCUGAAGGGUUACAUGAAAUACAUAUUCAAAGCCUUCAACGUGUGCCUACUAUUUGACCUAAAUAUCUCAUUUAAUAUUUUUCCAAAGAAAAUAAUUUAAGGGUCAAAUGUUUUAGAGUAUUUAGGAUAUUUACUGCAACAUUGUUUAUAAUAGCAAAAAAGAAAUACUAGAAAAAGCUUCACUGUACAGCAACAAAUGGUUAAAUAUAUAAUGUAUAAUCUAUACAAUAGCAUGCAGUAGGUCUCUUAACUCCACUUAACACAUUCACAAAACUCCCCAGGGCGCAUCCCUCCCCAUUAGCCACCUCCCAUCAUGUCAUAGGUAGAUAUGCAAAAUGCUAUAUUGAAGGGCCAGGUAAAUCUCAGUCAGGAUGGCAUUACGGCAUGGAGAGACAAGUUAUUAUAGUACAGCACAUGCUUGAUUCCAUGAGUCAAACUGCAUGCUUCCAAGAGAUAGUUGUGUUCGCUCCUGUGACUAUUUCAUGCCAGAGGUGCUUGUUGACACUGUGAUUUCAAUAAACAUUACAUAAACUAAUAUAAAAAAAUUGCUUGAGACAGGGUCUUGCUGUCACCCAGACUGGAGUGCAGUGGCAUGAUCAUAGCUCACUGCAGACUCAAACUCCUGGACUCAAGCAAUCCACUCACCUCAGCCUCCUAACUGGGACUACAGGUGCACACCACCAUGCUCAGAUAAUUUUUUAACUUUUUGUAGAGAAAGGGUCUCACUAUGUUUCCCAGGCUGGUCUCAAGCGAUCCUCCCAUCUCAGUCUCCCAAAGUGCUGGGAUUACAGGCAUGAGCCACCACUGUGCCUGGCCUAAAAAUUUUUUGUUAAAAAUGCUUUCCACCGGCCGGGUGCAGUGGCUCAUGCCUAUAAUCCCAGCACUUUGGGAGGCCAAGGUAGGUGGAUCACCUGAGGUCAGGAAUUUGAGACCAGCUGGCCAACAUGGUGAAACCGCCUUUCUACUAAAAAUACAAAAACUAGCCAGGCAUGGGGGCUGACACCUGUAAUCCUAGCUACUCAGGAGGCUGAGGCAGGAGAAUCGCUUGAACCCGGGAGGUAGAGGUUGCAGUGAGCCAAGAUCAUGCCACUGCACUCCAGCUGGAGCGACAGAGUGAAACUCUGUCUCACACACACACACACACACAAAAAUACUUUCCACCUAAUUCUGAGGCAGAGCCAAGUUUGUGAACACUAAUGUAGAACCCACAAUAAAUAUUGCUUCCUUCUUGGGAGGACUUUUUUCAGAGAUUAUUUUUUCUUCUAAGUUACCUUCCUGUCAAAAAAGGAACGGUCUUGGCUACAGAUUUUUUUUUUUUUUUUUUUUUG